CAUUCCACGACUCUUCUCUUUCCGAACAGACUCUAAUUUUAUACCAAUACAGAACCCUGAUAUAAACACAACCAUGCUUUCUUCAAUGGAGAUGGAUUACGUUCGCAAUUGCGUUUGGAUUAGAUGCUUAUAAAUAGAAAGCUACAAAUUACAUACUAUGCUUCAUUAUCAGAAUUGGAAUCGGAAUCUGGCGUCUUUUUGAACAUGCUGCUGUUGAAUUUGUUAAACUUCAAAAAACAGUAGUACAGUAAACAUACCCCGAAAACAGUAGAUUCCCUGUAAAAACAGGAGAUCUGGCAACACUGCUCGAAUGUUGGAAAUUGGAGGGGAGGCGUUGCCGCGAAAUAAUAAUAUCGAAUUAUCGAUCAAAAUACUUCAUUAUGGAUGUACAUCAAUGUUAACUAAAUAAUACAAAUGUAUUGUAUUAAAUAAUUAAGAACAUAUUAAUUUUAUUUUCUAUAGUCUGCCAAAUCGUGCGUAAUGAGCUCGAUAAAAUUAAAAUUAUAGUCAAGAGAUGUACGUAUACAUAUACUCGUAUUUAUUCCGAGUUGUUACAUUGAAAUUAUAGAUCGUAUAAUAAAAAUAAAAUAUAAAGGUAGUUUUACGCGAUUAAUGCCGUCAUCGGUAACGUCGAGUGACUGUCGUAAAAUAUAUUUUUUGAAUAAUGAGUUCUGUUAUUGACCCGUAAUUCACUUGACCAGCUUAGGCGAGUUCGUGCUGUCUCUUGUGUUUGGCAUAGAAACAGCAGAGAUAUAUAUAUAUAAACUCCUUUCCUUUUAUACAACGUUUACUUUUGGGUCAUAUUUCGAGGACAUUUGUAUGAUAGAUAGGAAGGUAUUUUGAGGCCAAUUAACAUGAAUAUUGUGAACAGUAAGUUAUGUAAGGUAAACAUAACGGUUACAGAUGUACCUUUAACUCAUAAUUCAUAAAAAAAAUAUGUAUCGUUAAACUAGCUAAAACACCGGUUAACGGCCCUCACUCAGGUCUAGUUUCGGCCCUCAGCGCACCGCGAAAACCGAUUUUGGAAAAUUGCGGGGAUCUUUCUCCUUUACUCUCACUAAGACCUAAUUAGAGUGACAGAGAAAAAUGCUUGCAAUCGACGAACUUCGAUUUUCGCGGUUAUAGCCCUGAGGGCCUACCGCGAACCACGUUCGACGUGUUGCCUCUCUGUCGCACUUGUGAAUUCGUACGUAAGUGUGACAGGGAGGCAACACGUCGAACGUGGUUCGCGGUAGGCCCUCUGUUAAUUCUGUUAUCGCCAACUUAAUUCACCAGAAAUAUGACUUCUCAAUUGGAUUCAUACAUGAAGUUUAAAUUUGAACGAAAUAUUUUUUAUUCGGAUGAUUCAAAGAUUUUAUUUGUACAACAUAGGUAGAUUGCAAGAUGUUACAUAGACUUUGGGUAUUACUAUGUCGUGCCUAUUGGGCAUACAAAUUUAAUAAAAAUACACGCUCGAAUCAUAGACCGAUUACACGGUACGGUAUAGAUUGUUACGGUUAUAUCAUGUUACAAAUGCAUUUCCGUUAUUAAAUUAUCAUUGCUUAAAAUAAUAAGUAAAAAGUACAAAAAUUGCGCGCGAAAAGCUAAUGAGCGAAACGCGACGCGACGCCAUUGAUUGAAACGUUACGUGACGUCAUCCAUGGUUUGUUAGUUAGUUUUGUUCUGCCGCUUCUUCGACGAACUUCUGCGACGCACCCAUUUUGAAAGAAAUCUGGUAUAAAAACCGGCCAAGUGCGAGUCGGACUCGCGCACGAAGGGUUUCGUACCAUUAUUUAUAAAAACGGCAAAAAAAUAUGUUUGUUGUUUGGGAGCCCCCCUUAAGAGGCUGUCAACACCCAAUGUCCUUGAAAUUGAUGUUACUUAAACAGUUUUUUAAGAAAGACUAUUUGUUUUAGUCAAGUAAGAAAAAUAUAUGUUCAUAUUAAUUAUAUUUCAAAGACCGUGGUUGUACUCGAUACAUGAUUGAACGAAAUCGGCUCGAUAGAAAAUAAUUGCAAAGAUUGGUCUUAAAAUCACAAUUAAACGGUUCUGUCUUUAUUGUUGACUUAUGGGUCUGCAAUUAAAAUCACAAUUUCAAAACAUUUAUAUCUAAACCGCUAUUGAGUAAAAUAUUACACUAAUAAUCCUUUUUUUUUAUUUAAAUAUUUUUCUUAUUAUUCCCUUGCCCAGGCCCAGUAACAUGCGACAGUGCUAUCUCAUUUACUUCGAUACAAAUAGACAGUGUGCGCGCUUUAGGUAUUGACAGCCUCUUAAAUAUUUAUUUUAUUCCGUUUUUAGUAUUUGUUGUUAUAGCGGCAACAGAAAUACAUAAUCUGUAGAAAUUUCAACUGGCUAACUAUCACUGUUCAUGAGAUACAGCCUGGUGACAGAUGGACGGACGGACGGACAGCGAAGUCUUAGUAAUAGGGUCCCGUUUGACCCUUUGGGUACGGAACCGUAAAAAUGUAUUUUUGUCGCGGUUUAGCUAUUCAAAAUGUUUUUAUAUCUCAUCUGUUAGUUUCAACUAAUUUUUGAUAAACACUUGGUUGAGUUUAAGUUUAAAUACAUUUAUUAAUUAAAUAUGUCCUCUAUUUGUUCCUUGUUACGUCGAUAAAGUGUUUUAUCAAUAGCUAGCUUAUUUUGCAUUACACAUUAUUUCCUGAUGCUUUCUAUCAUUGUAGGUUUGUAUCACGACUUACCUAAAAAAUGUGAAGAAAUAAGUAUUUGAACGGGCGCUAAGAGUGUCAAACAACAGCGCGCCUGUAUUUUCUGACUACGUUCUGCUUCUAUCAAUAAUAUUAUAAAAAAUAACUACAGUGAGCGUCCAUUGGAAUAAGUUUUGUUCCUGGAAGAAAACAACACCAUAAAUACAAUACAAUGAGAAUGACGGAGUGUUCGUGCAAUGGCUAUCAGACAAUCUGUCAUGCAUCGAUGCUUUUAUGAUGUCUAUAAUUAUAUAUCGCGACCUAUUGAAAAUACUUCAUUUCUCUGACAUAGGAGCUACGAGUAUGUGCAAGGUGUACAGCAAAAGUAGCUGGUAAAACUAUAGAACUGUGAUGAUACAUACGCGUAGAUGAUGUGGCAGAAUUAAAAGGUUCAAACGCACAUGAGGCUGCCUAGGUGAAUGUUCUGGAUGUGACUUUAAUAUGGACUAUAAGUAUAAAGGAAGAUACAUUAUGUAUGAAAAGGGACCUUAAUGUCGGUGGCGCUUACGCCGUUAUCAACGGUGCUCCCAUAUUAUAAACAACGCUGUGCUACGCAGUGCGGCGUAAGCACCAUCGACAAUAAGGUCCCCGGUUCAUAGAUAAUGUCACAUUUGAAGAAUAGUGUUAUGCAGUGCAGUGGAACUUUUUAAAGUAAUACGAACAAAAAGCUACGCCUUGGUAGUGAAAGUUAUAUGUACAGUUGAUAAAACACCAAAACUUAAGUAAUCUUUACUAUAACUGCUCUGAACAACAUAUCAAUGCAAUUUUCAACUAAAACAGGCCCAGGUAACUGUAUAUUCUCAAAAUGUUAUAAUCAUAGAGUUAUGUAGAUUAUGCUAGAUAAAUGUAAACAUUUGCUAGAAAAAUGCAUGUUGUGAAAUGCAGCAAUCCUUCCCGAGGUGGUUUUAAUAAAUAAUAAUAAAGUA